rnacentral:rRNA from 1 species
UACGUAGGGUGCGAGCGUUAAUCGGAAUUACUGGGCGUAAAGAGUGCGUAGGCGGUUUUCUAAGUUUGGUGUGAAAUCUCCCGGCUUAACUGGGAGGGUGCGCCGAAAACUGGAAGGCUUGAGUAUGGGAGAGGUAAGCGGAAUUCCUGGUGUAGCGGUGAAAUGCGUAGAUAUCAGGAGGAACACCUGCGGUGUAGACGGCUUACUGGACCAUAACUGACGCUGAGGCACGAAAGCGUGGGUAGCAAACAGG